GCAUGGUGUAGGUUGAAAGAUGGUUUCGGCUAUCACUUUAGGAUGGACCCGCGGUGCAUUAGUUAGUUGGUGAGGUAAAGGCUCACCAAGACCGUGAUGCAUAGCCGACCUGAGAGGGUAAUCGGCCACACUGGGACUGAGACGCGGCCCAGACUCCUACGGGAGGCAGCAGUAGGGAAUCUUCCACAAUGGACGAAAGUCUGAUGGAGCAACGCCGCGUGAGUGAAGAAGGUCUUCGGAUCGUAAACUACUGUUGUUGGAGAAGAAUGUAUCUGAUAGUAACUGAUCAGGUAGUGACGGUAUCCAACCAGAAAGCCACGGCUAACUACGUG
rnacentral:rRNA from 1 species